GAUGAACGCUGGCGGCGUGCCUAAUACAUGCAAGUCGAGCGGACGGACGAGAAGCUUGCUGCUCUGAUGUUAGCGGCGGACGGGUGAGUAACACGUGGAUAACCUACCUAUAAUACUGGGAUAACUUCGGGAAACCGGAGCUAAUACCGGAUAAUCUUUUGAACCGCGGGGUUCAUAAGUGAAAGACGGUCUUGCUGUCACUUAUCGCUGGAUCCCGGCUGCAUUAGCUAGUUGGUGAGGUAACGGGCUACGAAGGCAAGGAGGCGUGUCCGAGGGGAGAGGUGGAUCGGCGACCCGGGAACUGAGACAGGGUCAAGGCGCCUACGGGAGGCAGCAGUAGGGAAUCUUCCGCAGUGGUCGAAAGCAUGACGGAGCAGCGCCGAGUCAGUGAUGAAAGCCUUGGGAGCGUGAUACCCUGUUACUAGGUAAGAACAGAUUUGGACUGAAAUGAGGAGUGCGUGACGGUACCUAAUCAGAAAGCCACGGCUAACUACGUG
rnacentral:rRNA from 1 species